AACUUUUAGCAACGGAUCACUUGGCUCUCGCAUCGAUGAAGAACGCAGCGAAAUGCGAUAAGUAAUGUGAAUUGCAGAUUUCAGUGAAUCAUCGAAUCUUUGAACGCACCUUGCACCCUUUGGCAUUCCGAAGGGUAUGCUCGUUUGAGUGUCAUUGUACUCUCACACUCCCGAUGCUUUUGGAUUGGGAGUGGUGGACUUGGGUGUUGCUGCUUUACUGUGGCUCACCUCAAAUGGAGUAGCGCAACUCUUGGAUGGGGAUAGUACGGCGUGAUAAGUGUCUUCGCCGGCGCCUCUUUAGAGUGUGGCGGAUCGGUAUCUCUGAGCUUCAAACCGCCUUCGGACAAAAUCUAAGACCUUGACCUUCAAUCGAGUAGGACUAUCCGCUGACCUUAAGCAUAAAAAGAAGCGGAGGCU
rnacentral:misc_RNA from 1 species